rnacentral:rRNA from 1 species
UACGUAGGGACCGAGCGUUGUCCGGAUUCAUUGGGCGUAAAGAGCUCGUAGGCGGCUGUUCAAGUCGAACGUGAAAACUCGGAGCUCAACUCCGAGCCUGCGUUCGAUACUGGACGGCUAGAGUCUGGUAGGGGGAUCUGGAAUUCCUGGUGUAGCGGUGAAAUGUGUAGAGAUCGGGAGGAACACCGGUGGCGAAGGCGGGUCUCUGGGCAAUUCCUGACGCUGAGGCGCGAAAGCGUGGGGAGCAAACAGG